GGUGCUUGCACCCCGCUGACGAGCGGCGGACGGGUGAGUAAUGCAUAGGAAACUGCCCAGUAGUGGGGGAUAGCCCGGGGAAACCCGGAUUAAUACCGCGUACGCCCUUCGGGGGAAAGCAGGGGAUCUUCGGACCUUGCGCUAUUGGAUGUGCCUAUGUCGGAUUAGCUAGUUGGUGGGGUAAAGGCCUACCAAGGCGACGAUCCGUAGCUGGUCUGAGAGGAUGAUCAGCCACAUCGGGACUGAGACACGGCCCGAACUCCUACGGGAGGCAGCAGUGGGGAAUAUUGGACAAUGGGGGCAACCCUGAUCCAGCCAUGCCGCGUGUGUGAAGAAGGCUUUCGGGUUGUAAAGCACUUUCAGUGAGGAGGAAAAGUUGGUCGUUAAUACCGGCCAGCCUUGACGUUACUCACAGAAGAAGCACCGGCUAACUCCGUGCCAGCAGCCGCGGUAAUACGGAGGGUGCAAGCGUUAAUCGGAAUUACUGGGCGUAAAGCGCGCGUAGGUGGUUUGAUAAGCGAGAUGUGAAAGCCCCGGG
rnacentral:rRNA from 1 species